rnacentral:misc_RNA from 1 species
GAUGAAGAACGUAGCGAAAUGCGAUAAGUAAUGUGAAUUGCAGAAUUCAGUGAAUCAUCGAGUCUUUGAACGCACAUUGCGCCCCCUGGUAUACCGGGGGGCAUGCCUGUCCGAGCGUCAUUGCUGCCCUCAAGCACGGCUUGUGUGUUGGGCCUCCGUCCUCCUCCCGGGGGACGGGCCCGAAAGGCAGCGGCGGCACCGCGUCCGGUCCUCGAGCGUAUGGGGCUUCGUCACCCGCUCUUGUAGGCCCGGCCGGCGCUUGCCGACACAUCAAUCUUUUUUCCAGGUUGACCUCGGAUCAGGUAGGGAUACCCGCUGAACUUAAGCAUAUCAAUAAGCGGAGGA